GCCUAACACAUGCAAGUCGAGCGGAUGAAGGGGAGCUUGCUCCUGGAUUCAGCGGCGGACGGGUGAGUAAAUGCCUAGGAAUCUGCCUGGUAGUGGGGGAUAACGUCCGGAAACGGGCGCUAAUACCGCAUACGUCCUGAGGGAGAAAGUGGGGGAUCUUCGGACCUCACGCUAUCAGAUGAGCCUAGGUCGGAUUAGCUAGUUGGUGGGGUAAAGGCCUACCAAGGCGACGAUCCGUAACUGGUCUGAGAGGAUGAUCAGUCACACUGGAACUGAGACACGGUCCAGACUCCUACGGGAGGCAGCAGUGGGGAAUAUUGGACAAUGGGCGAAAGCCUGAUCCAGCCAUGCCGCGUGUGUGAAGAAGGUCUUCGGAUUGUAAAGCACUUUAAGUUGGGAGGAAGGGCAGUAAGUUAAUACCUUGCUGUUUUGACGUUACCAACAGAAUAAGCACCGGCUAACUUCGUGCCAGCAGCCGCGGUAAUACGAAGGGUGCAAGCGUUAAUCGGAAUUACUGGGCGUAAAGCGCGCGUAGGUGGUUCAGCAAGUUGGAUGUGAAAUCCCCGGGCUCAACCUGGGAACUGCAUCCAAAACUACUGAGCUAGAGUACGGUAGAGGGUGGUGGAAUUUCCUGUGUAGCGGUGAAAUGCGUAGAUAUAGGAAGGAACACCAGUGGCGAAGGCGACCACCUGGACUGAUACUGACACUGAGGUGCGAAAGCGUGGGGAGCAAACAGGAUUAGAUACCCUGGUAGUCCACGCCGUAAACAAUGUAGACUAGCCGUUGGGAUCCUUGAGAUCU
rnacentral:rRNA from 1 species